UACGGGGGGUGCGAGCGUUGUCCGGAAUCACUGGGCGUAAAGGGUGCGUAGGCGGGUCUUUAAGUCAGGGGUGAAAUCCUGGAGCUCAACUCCAGAACUGCCUUUGAUACUGGAAGACUUGAGUCCGGGAGAGGUGAGUGGAACUGCGAGUGUAGAGGUGAAAUUCGUAGAUAUUCGCAAGAACACCAGUGGCGAAGGCGGACUCACUGGCCCGGUACUGACGCUGAGGUGCGAAAGCGUGGGAGCAAC
rnacentral:rRNA from 1 species